rnacentral:rRNA from 1 species
AUACGUAGGGGGCGAGCGUUGUCCGGAAUUACUGGGCGUAAAGCGCAUGUAGGCGGCCUGUUAAGUCAGGUGUGAAAACUGACGGCUCAACCGUGAGAUUGCACAUGAAACUGGCAGGCUUGAGGGCAGGAGAGGAGAGCGGAAUUCCUAGUGUAGCGGUGAAAUGCGUAGAUAUUAGGAGGAACACCAGUGGCGAAGGCGGCUCUCUGGACUGAACCUGACGCUGAGGUGCGAAAGCUAGGGUAGCGAACGGGAUUAGAUACCCCGGUAGUCCUAGCCGUAAACGAUGGGCACUAGGUGUAGGAGGUAUCGACCCCUUCGGUGCCGGAGCAAACGCAAUAAGUGCCCCGCCUGGGGAGUACGGCCGCAAGGCUGAA